CCUACGGGAGGCAGCAGUGGGGAAUAUUGCACAAUGGAGGAAACUCUGAUGCAGCAACGCCGCGUGAGUGAAGAAGUAUUUCGGUAUGUAAAGCUCUAUCAGCAGGGAAGAAGAAAGACGGUAGCUGACUAAGAAUCCCCGGCUAAAUACGUGCCAGCAGCCGCGGUAAUACGGAGGGGGCAAGCGUUAUCCGGAUUUACUGGGUGUAAAGGGAGCGUAGACGGGUGUGCAAGUCUGAAGUGAAAGCCCGUGGCUCAACCGCGGAACUGCAUUGGAAACUGUAUAGCUUGAGUGCUGGAAGGGCAGGCGGAAUUCAUGGUGUAGCGGUGAAAUGCGUAGAUAUUAGGAGGAACACCAGUGGCGAAGGCGACCGGCUGGACAGAAACUGACGUUGAGGCUCGAAAGCGUGGGGAGCAAACAGGAUUAGAUACCCUUGUAGUC
rnacentral:rRNA from 1 species